rnacentral:rRNA from 1 species
CCUACGGGAGGCAGCAGUGAGGAAUAUUGGUCAAUGGACGAGAGUCUGAACCAGCCAAGUAGCGUGAAGGAUGACUGCCCUAUGGGUUGUAAACUUCUUUUAUAUGGGAAUAAAAUGUUCCACGUGUGGGAUUUUGUAUGUACCAUAUGAAUAAGGCUCGGCUAACUACGUGCCAGCAGCCGCGGUAAUACGGAGGAUCCGAGCGUUAUCCGGAUUUAUUGGGGUUAAAGGGGGCGGAGGUGGAGUGUUAAGUCAGUUGUGAAAGUUUGCGGCUCAACCGUAAAAUUGCAGUUGAAACUGGCAGUCUUGAGUACAGUAGAGGUGGGCGGAAUUCGUGGUGUAGCGGUGAAAUGCUUAGAUAUCACGAAGAACUCCGAUUGCGAAGGCAGUUCACUGGACUGCAACUGACACUGAGGCUCGAAAGUGUGGGUAUCAAACAGGAUUAGAUACCCCGGUAGUC